CAACGUGGGUAACCUGCCCAAGAGACUGGGAUAACACCUGGAAACAGAUGCUAAUACCGGAUAACAACACUAGACGCAUGUCUAGAGUUUAAAAGAUGGUUCUGCUAUCACUCUUGGAUGGACCCGCGGUGCAUUAGCUAGUUGGUAAGGUAACGGCUUACCAAGGCAAUGAUGCAUAGCCGAGUUGAGAGACUGAUCGGCCACAUUGGGACUGAGACACGGCCCAAACUCCUACGGGAGGCAGCAG
rnacentral:rRNA from 1 species